UGGUUGUAGCUCAGUUGGUAGAGCAUCCCGAUUCUUCAUCGGGAGGGCCCAGGGUUCGAAUCCUUGCAGGCCGA
rnacentral:tRNA from 1 species